rnacentral:rRNA from 1 species
GAUGAACGCUGGCGGCGUGCUUAACACAUGCAAGUCGAACGGAAAGGCCCAAGCUUGCUUGGGUACUCGAGUGGCGAACGGGUGAGUAACACGUGGGUGAUCUGCCCUGCACUUCGGGAUAAGCCUGGGAAACUGGGUCUAAUACCGGAUAGGACCACAUUUUGGAUGGUGUGGUGGAAAGUUUUUCGUUGUGGGAUGAGCUCGCGGCCUAUCAGCUUGUUGGUGGGGUAAUGGCCUACCAAGGCGUCGACGGGUAGCCGGCCUGAGAGGGUGUACGGCCACAUUGGGACUGAGAUACGGCCCAGACUCCUACGGGAGGCAGCAAUGGGGAAUAUUGCACAAUGGGCGCAAGCCUGAUGCAGCGACGCCGCGUGGGGGAUGACGGCCUUCGGGUUGUAAACUCCUUUCGCUAGGGACGAAGCGUUUUUGUGACGGUACCUGGAGAAGAAGCACCGGCUAACUACGUG